AAGUCGUAACAAGGUAACCGUAGGUGAACCUGCGGUUGGAUCAUUAGUGGUUUUUACGUAGCGCUGUUGUAGUGUUUCUGGGGGGUGUUUGUGUGUGGUCUUUGAGUUUGUUGUUGGUUGUUUGUCUGUUUUUGUGCAUUGCCUUGUGCGAUGUCUUGUGCAGUGCCUUGUGCGGUGCCUGGCAGUACAAACGAUCGACGGCAACACUCGGACCAGACCCAAGACCUUUACAGACAAUAGACGUCUUUGCUUGCUUUGAUGAAACCAAAUCAAAAACAACUUUUGACAACGGAUCUCUUGGCUCUC
rnacentral:misc_RNA from 1 species